UACGUAGGGUGCAAGCGUUAAUCGGAAUUACUGGGCGUAAAGAGCGCGCAGGCGGUCGUUCAAGUCGCGUGUGAAAGCCCCCGGCUCAACUGGGGAGGGUCACGCGAUACUGAUCGACUCGAAGGCAGGAGAGGGUAGUGGAAUUCCCGGUGUAGUGGUGAAAUGCGUAGAUAUCGGGAGGAACACCAGUGGCGAAGGCGGGUCUCUGGGCCGUAACUGACGCUGAGGAGCGAAAGCGUGGGGAGCGAACAGG
rnacentral:rRNA from 1 species